UACGAACUGUGCGAACGUUAUUCGGAAUCACUGGGCUUACAGGGUGCGUAGGCGGCUUAGCAAGUCAGGUGUGAAAGCCCCCGGCUCAACCGGGGAACUGCGCUUGAAACUGCUGAGCUCGAGUCAGCUAGAGGUACACGGAACUUCCAGUGGAGCGGUGAAAUGUGUUGAUAUCAGGAAGAACACCCGUGGCGAAGGCGGCUUUCUGGGACGGUACUGACGCUGAUGCGCGAAAGCGUGGGGAGCAAACGGG
rnacentral:rRNA from 1 species